AUGGCGCGGCGGACGGUGCAGCUGCUGGCGGCGCUCCUCGCGGUGACCGUGGCGGCGGCGGACGACAGCGGCGAGAAGUGCACGGGCGGGUGCGGGAACCCGUGCGGCAUCCCGUGCACCUACUCCAGCCCGCCGCCGCCGGAGCCGGCGCUGCCCCCGCCCGUCUACUACCCGCCGCCGGCGCCCGUGUACUCGCCGCCGCCCCCCGAGGCCGUCUACCCGCCGCCCACGCCCACGGCCGACUGCCCGCCGCCCCCCACCGAGGGGUACACGCCCGCGCCCUACACCCCCACGCCGUCCACGCCGUCCGGCGGGUACACCCCGACGACGCCCUCCGGCGGGUACAAUCCGACGCCGUCCGGGGGCGGGUACAACCCCACGCCGUCCGGGUGGUUCACGCCGCCCAACAUGCCGUCCUACCUCACCCCGCCCGGCCCGCUCUACCCGCAGGACCCCGGGUUCCGGCCCAACGCCGCGCCGGGCCUCUCCGCGUCAUGGCGCGCGGCGGCCCUCGCGGCUUUGACGGUGGCCGGAGCCCUGGCCUUGUGA
rnacentral:rRNA from 1 species